rnacentral:rRNA from 1 species
CUACGGGACGCACCAGCUGCGAAUUUUUUACAAUGCACGAAAGUGUGAUAGAGCGAACCAAAGUGCUUACCUUUCGGUAAGCUUUUCUUCUGUGUAAAAAGCAGGAGGAAUAAGGACUGGGAAAGACCGGUGCCAGCCGCCGCGGUAAUACCGGCAGUUCAAGUGGCAUCCAACUUUAUUGGGUCUAAAACAUCCGUAGCUUGUUUGUUAAGUCUCUUGUGAAAUCUUAUGUCUCAAGCAUAGGGCUUGCAGGGGAUACUGGCAAACUGGAGAUCGGUAGACGUAAGGAGUACGAUCAAGGUAAUGGUUAAAUAUGUUAAUCUUGGUUGGACUAACGAUUAGCGAAGGCACCUUACGAGGACGAGUCUGACAGUGAGGGAUGAAGGCCAGGGGCGCAAAACGGAUUAGAUACCCCCGUAGUC